UUUCUUCGUUGAUAAGCUCCAGAAAUUUCAAUCUCCACCAAUCCUGUCUCUCCCGCUCCAUUUUCCGGCGCCCAUCCCUUCUUCUACCGUCUCAGUUUCCUGUCACAUCCACCGAAGCCAAGGCCACCGUCGCCAAUUUUAUCAGCCUGCCCCAUAAGUUCCGGUUCCACUCCAUCAAGUCCUCACCGAUUAUGGCUUCAUCCUUCAAUCCCGAGCAAGCUAGAUCUCCACCUGCACUUCCGUUGCCGAUCCCUCCGGUCACCAAGUUUAAAAUCGCGCUAUGUCAAUUGGCGGUGACGGCUGAUAAGCAAAGGAAUAUUGAACAUGCUCGUAAGGCCAUUGAAGAGGCUGUGGAAAAGGGCGCCCAGCUUGUUGUCUUGCCGGAAAUAUGGAAUUGUCCUUAUUCCCACGAUUGCUUACCACUUUAUGCUGAGGACAUUGAAGCCGGUGGUGAUGCUUCCCCUUCAACAGCCAUGUUAUCUGAAGUUGCUCGUCGUUUAAAAGUCACAAUAGUCGGCGGCUCAAUUGUAG
rnacentral:misc_RNA from 1 species